UACGAAGGGGGCUAGCGUUGUUCGGAAUCACUGGGCGUAAAGGGUGCGUAGGCGGGUUUUUAAGUCAGGGGUGAAAUCCUGGAGCUCAACUCCAGAACUGCCUUUGAUACUGAAGAUCUUGAGUCCGGGAGAGGUGAGUGGAACUGCGAGUGUAGAGGUGAAAUUCGUAGAUAUUCGCAAGAACACCAGUGGCGAAGGCGGCUCACUGGCCCGGUACUGACGCUGAGGUGCGAAAGCGUGGGGAGCAAACAGG
rnacentral:rRNA from 1 species